AGUGAACGCUGGCGGCAGGCCUAACACAUGCAAGUCGAGCGGCAGCGGGUCCCCGCGAGGGGAGUGCCGGCGAGCGGCGGACGGGUGAGGAACACAUCGGAAUCUGCCUGGUUGUGGGGGAGUAACGUAGGGAAACUUACGCUAAUACCGCAUGAGACCCUGAGUCGACGGACUGGGGGUGAAAGUGAGGGGCCUUCGGGCCGUCACGCGACCAGAUGAGCCGAUGUCGGAUUAGCUAGUUGGCGGGGUAACGGCCCG
rnacentral:rRNA from 1 species